UGGUGAGGUGUUCUGGGGUCUGGAGGGCUGUUUUCCCUGGCUAGUCACCUGGUGAGGUGUUCUGGGGGCUGGAGGGCUGUUUUCCUGGAUGGUCACCUGGUGAGGUGUUCUGGGGUCUGGAGGUCUGUUUUCCUGGCUAGUCACCUGGUGAGGUGUUCUGGGGUCUGGAGGGCUGUUUUCCUGGCUAGUCACCUGGUGAGGUGUUCUGGGGUCUGGAGGUCUGUUUUCCUGGCUGGUCACCUGGUGAGGUGUUCUGGGGUCUGGAGGGCUGUUUUCCUGACUAGUCACCUGGUGAGGUGUUCUGGGGUCUGGAGGGCUGUUUUCCUGGCUAGUCACCUGGUGAGGUGUUCUGGGGUCUGGAGGGCUGUUUUCCUGGCUAGUCACCUGGUGAGGUGUUCUGGGGUCUGGAGGGCUGUUUUCCUGGCUAGUCACCUGGUGAGGUGUUCUGGGGUCUGGAGGGCUGUUU